UCCUGGAGAGCUUCGUCAGAGGAACAUCAGACUUUUAAUCUGAGGGUCCAGGGUUCAUGUCCCAGUCCAGGGG
rnacentral:tRNA from 1 species